rnacentral:misc_RNA from 1 species
AGUAAAAUAGUACGUGAAAUUGUUGAAAGGGAAACGAUUGAAGUCAGUCGUACCGACGAGAAAUCAGCUCUUCGAGUGCGAACUUGUGGGCGUGCGUGAGUCUUUAACGGGCCUCGCUGUUUGCAAUGUUUGUGCUUUUUGGGUGUACUUUUUCGUAUGGUAGGCCAACGUCAGUUUCGAUUACCAUAAAAUGAUCGGAGGAAUGUAGUUUCGAUCUCGUAUUGAAGUGUUAUAGCCUCUGGUAGAUGUGGUGACCGAAACUGAGGAUUGCAACGAAUACCCUUUGGGCUAUCCGUCUGACCUCUGAAAGUUGCUUAGGUGCCGAAAGCUUGCUUACGGUCAUUUAAGUUGACGGUCAAAAGGUUAGAACGUGAUUACAUUCGUUAAGGACGUUGGCGUAAUGGCUUUAAA